rnacentral:lncRNA from 1 species
GAAACAUUUUGAAGAUGCAUAAAGACAUGUCACGUAUGGGUGUGGAGCUCCUCUUCAUGUCCCAUGAAGCUGGGGCUGCUCACGGUGAGACAAGGAUGUUCGAAGGGUUGAUGUGAGCCAGAUCCCAUCAAGGGCAGAGCACCCCUGGGGCCUAGCAGGGGGCUGGGAGUCAGGGCAGGAGCCAGAAGCCACGGCCAGAGCUGAUGGAAACCAGGGAAGAAUGGGCAAAAUGGCAGGGAAAACCAACACCACCCCGCAUCACCCACACCAGAUUCCCCGUUACCACCAGAGGUCUACACUCUGGAAGAGAAGCGGGAUACAGACUGGCUGUCCAGAUUCUUCUCAUCACCAAUCAAAGUAUAGUGGCUGAAGAAUGGAUCCUUAUCUACAGAUGCCCUUGAGUCAUGGAUUUUCCUAUGGGAGAAAGAGAGAACAUGCCCACCCACAGACCCCAUCAGCCUGUGGACAUAUAUAAAAGGUCCACAGCUAACAUCAUACCCAACGGUGGAAAACUAAAUGCAUUUCUUUUAAGAUCUGGAACAAGGUAAGAAUGUCUACUGUCAUCACUUCUAUUCAAUAUAGUCCUGGAAGUC